GGCGAACGCUGGCGGUGUGCUUAACACAUGCAAGUCGAACGGUAAGGCCCUUUCGGGGGUCCACGAGUGGCGAACGGGUGCGUAACACGUGAGUAACCUGCCCUCAUCUCUGGGAUAACAGUCGGAAACGGUUGCUAAUACUGGAUAUGAGCCUGCAAGGCAUCUUGUGGGUUGGAAAGAUUUUUUGGUUGGGGAUGGACUCGCGGCCUAUCAGCUUGUUGGUGAGGUAGUGGCUCACCAAGGCUUCGACGGGUAGCCGGCCUGAGAGGGCGACCGGCCACAUUGGGACUGAGAUAAGGCCCAAACUCCGACGGGAGGCAGCAGUGGGGAAGAUUGCACAAGGGACGGAAGGCGGAUGCAGCAACGCCGCGUGCGGGAUGACGGCCUUCGGGUUGGAAACCGCUUUCAAUUGUGACGAAGCUUUUUGUGACGGUAGCAGUAGAAGAAGCACCGGCUAACUACGUG
rnacentral:rRNA from 1 species